rnacentral:lncRNA from 1 species
AUGGUUUCGUGAUGCCCAUUGGACAACAAAGGGGGAUUGCGACUAUUUGUUAUCAUCACGAAUUCAUUACUUUGUCACAUCAGGCAUCAACGGAUAUUUCGUGCCCCUCCAAAGGUUUAUUUUCAGCAUGCAUGUUUAGGUGUUUUUGUGAUUGGCAAAGAUAAAGUUGGCUACAAGGCUCAUAUCAAGAUCAGGUGAGUCCCAUGACUGCAGCUGCACUGUCAUACAAGGCACUAAUUGUAAUAGGUUGCCUUAGCUUUUCCAAGUGGUUCUUGCUACUGAUGCACAUGGUGUCAUUGCGAGAGCAAAGGCUAACCAAAGUGCCGUACCGGACACAUUCUUAUUGCUUCCAAAAUAAAGUUUAGUUCUUUCAGAAUGAUUAUUGCAAUCGAAAAUAGAGAAUGUUUAUUGCAAUUUACAAACAGUAAUAGAGCAUGAAACUAAAAUUGUGCCUUUAAUUCAUUACUGGCAGAAAGUCGUACAAACAGGCAAUCUGAGAUGGUACUACUUCAACUGUAACUUUUUAAAUAAUAACUAAUCUUGGUUCAUAACUUUUGGAAACAAAUGGUACAGCACUAGUAUGCAUGUAUCAUUUAUAUGUUAUUAGAACACAACUAAUUAACAUGUCACAUUAUUUCCUAUCCCUUAUAGUCAGACUACACACUUGUAUAAAACUUACCAGUGUGACUUUUCUUUCUGUCCUCAUCCAUGCUGCUAGUGUUGUUUUCCAUCCCUCUGCUAAUUAAAGUAUAAAAUGAACACGAACUCUCUUUGUCCUGUGACUCCUAAUUAAGACCAGAGAGACUUCUCCUCCCUUCUUUCUAUCUACAACAAAAAACUGUUGUUUCUUUUUUUUUUUCAUUGUCCUGUGUAAAAACUCUGCCAUCCCAUUGGACCUUAAGAAGAUAUCGAACCAAUCAAUGACUAUUGAGGGUCCAAGGAUGCUUUAUCUCCCUUUUCCUUCCAAUUACAUGAUUGUGGAUAUGCUGUUUCCACCAGGCACAGCUGAUGCAAAUGGACUUUCUGGGAGGAGUUCGAUCUGAUUGCUGCAAUUAGGAAUGUGUUAUUAUCCACUAAAAUAUUACACAGAUGAUAUACGAUAGGACCAACGCUAGCGUGCAAUGCAAUGUUUGUUUGAUUGUGUUUACUAGUAAAUAAUAAUGGGGUACCUCUCUUUAUCAUCGUAGUUGUUGCUUGCCUGCGUUUGGGGAGGUUGGCUCGUGGAGACCAUUUCCAAGGAAUCGGACGUCAUGAGGGGAUGGUCCAUCAGCUGGUCGACAUCGUCUUUAGAAUCUGAUUAGCGAUCAAAAAAUUGGAAAAAGGAAAAGGAGACUUAACCUUACGGUUAAAGAUGGAAUUCUAAGGUGAAAAAUGAUGGCAUUGCGGACCUGAUGCCGGGAGGCAAUUGAGGGGAUUCACGCCAUCGUCCCCAAUGCUGCAAUCGAAGUAGGCAUACUGCUGUGGCAAAGAGUCAAGCCUGACUGCCCCUGCGAAGCGCUUUCUCUCGAUCUCGAUCAUCCUCUCCCUCUUCUCUGCCAAUUGCUUUCUCACCAUCCUGCUUGAAGGCUCGUAUUCAUCUAGAGCGAGCAAAAUAAGUAGUCGGUGUCAGUGGUUGCGGAUCAUCGUAAAAUGUAGAGAGUAAGGGUAUUUAGCCAUUACCUGAAUAAAAGUCCGGAUGAUCAUCAAUCUCAACGAAACGGGUAGGGUAGUACUGCAUCGGCUUCAUCUUGUCCACGCACGUCCUGGGAUAGCUGGAACUUCUAUUAGGUUUGCACACACAAAAGCAUGGUAUAUCGAAAAAUAAAAAAGCUAGAAAAAUCAGAUACAUUGUUGAUUACCGUUCGAUGCACUUGGAUUUCUCUCUAUAGGGUUUAACAAGGACCCUUGAUCCACAGAUGAAAUGUGGGUUGCGCCUCAUGAGUAUGGUGCUAACCGUCUCCGGAUUCUGGAAGCUCACAAAGCCAAACAUACGCCUCUCCUGGCACGG